UGCAGCAUCAGCCUUGCGUAUUGGCAAUAAAUCAUGGCUAAACCAUUUUAGCAAUAUUUCACCCAGAUUGCUUGAAGAAUGACACAAGUGGUCAGAAACAGAUUCAGAAUUGGAUUUAUUAUCACUGGUUUAAAUAAUGUAAAUUUAGCUUUUUUUUGCAGCAGUUCUGCAAGGACAUAAAAUAACGAUGCGAGUCCUGAGGUUGAUACUGAAGAUCGGAGCCCGAAUUUUAUCAGAGGUCUAGAAUUCGAGGCCUAAUGGUUUAACUUUGUAUAGCUAAUUUGUAAACUGAUCCUUUGGUGAGGGAGCACUGAUCUGCCAACAGCCUCCAGUAUAUCGUCAAUCAAAAUCACCCUUUGGACGCAGUGCUCGCAGCUUGCCGGAGUGUAUCUGGAAAACACAGUGUCCAGCUGGCUGUUUGCAGAUUUGCAUUGAGCACAUGUUUACGCUGCUCUGAACUGACUCGUGCCAGCAAUCAGCAAAACAUCUGUCUACUCACUGACACUUCCACUGCAUUUGGGAGCUAGUGAAGAGAAGCAAGAGGCUUUCAUCCCAAACCAUAGCUGUGCAGCAUUUUAAAGUUCAAGGAUCAAGACAACACCCAGGACAUGCUCUCUUCUCAUUGUUACCAUCAGAGAGGAGGCACAGGAGUCUGAAGACACACACUCAAUGUUUCAGGUACAGCUUCUUCUCCUCCACCAUCAGAUUUCUGAAUGGACAAUGAACCAUGAACGUACAAUGAACGUACACUACCUUACUUUUUUUUUUGCUCACAUUUUGCUUGACUUAAGAGUUUUUAGUUCUUGUUAUAAUUUAUAGGUUUUUUAAUAAUUGUGUUUUACAAUGUACUGUUACUGCAAAUUAUAAUUUAUAAUAUAAUAUCAUAAUAUUUCAUGGUAUAUGCCAGUGAUAUUUAAACCUGAUUCUGACUCUGAUUCUGACCAAGCAUCACAGAUUACAGAUCAAGGGUCAAUGGUCAAGGGGCAAUUUACAUUUACAUUUAUUAGGAAUGUGCUGUGGUGUGUUGGUCCGGGUGGAACAUAGAACAAUAUAACAAUUUACAACAAUUUCAAAAAAUAAAGAAUGAUAUAAAAAUAGAGGUUAAAGAAUGGAUAUGUAAUAAAACGUGCAUAAAUGCAUAAAUACCAGUAUGCAUUUACCAUGUAAACAGCAUUGUAAAAAUGCUAUAAAGUGUUUACUGCGCAGUGCAGUGAUGAUGAAAUAGAUGGGGUGGGGGUAACUAACUAGAACAGUUAAUCAGAUUAAGUGCCGGGGGAAGAACAUUUAAGAUGGCGUGAUGUUUAGUCCCAGGUCUGAAAACCUUGAGACAUUAGGGUUAAUAUCCUUUUUGCUUUAACAAGCAUCUUCAUCAGUUAUGAAUUAAGCUUCAGAUAAAACUGAAUACAAGCAUGUACAACACACGCAAAAUGCUGGAGGAACUCAGCAGGUCA